AAGUAGANNAACAGGGAUUACCUCAGUAACGGCGAGUGAAGCGGUAACAGCUCAAAUUUGAAAUCUGGGUCUUUCAGGCUCCGAGUUGUAAUUUGUAGAAGAUGCUUCGGGUGCGGCUCCGGUCUAAGUUCCUUGGAACAGGACGUCAUAGAGGGUGAGAAUCCCGUAUGUGAUCGGCUGCUUGCGCCCAUGUGAAGCUCUUUCGACGAGUCGAGUUGUUUGGGAAUGCAGCUCAAAAUGGGUGGUAAAUUUCAUCUAAAGCUAAAUAUUGGCCAGAGACCGAUAGCGCACAAGUAGAGUGAUCGAAAGAUGAAAAGCACUUUGGAAAGAGAGUUAAACAGUACGUGAAAUUGUUGAAAGGGAAGCGCUUGCAACCAGACUUGCGCGUUGUUGAUCAUCUGGGGUUCUCCCCAGUGCACUCGACCUCGCUCAGGCCAGCAUCGGUUUCGGUGGUUGGAUAAAGGCCUUGGGAAUGUAGCUUCCUUCGGGGAGUGUUAUAGCCCUCGGUGCAAUGCAGCCUACCGGGACCGAGGACCGCGCUUCGGCUAGGAUGCUGGCGUAAUGGUUGUAAGCGACCCGUCUUGAAACACGGACCAAGGAGUCUAACAUCUAUGCGAGUGUUGGGGGUGGAAAA
rnacentral:rRNA from 1 species